GAUGGGGCAGGCCUGUCUCCUACUGCACUAUGUCAUUUAUAUUAAUAACCACAGCACAGGGGAAAGAGGAGGGGUACAGCACAGAAUCAGGAGUGGAAAGCAGCCAGGAAUGGCAAUCUGAAAAUGGGACUUAAUGGAACACUGGCUGCAACCUUUCACCUGCAAGUGGUGGCUAAGGGGCUCCAGACUAAAGCAACAUCCAUAUGAUUGGGGAGAUGAGGUACAUUUAGUGCCAUUUGUAACAGCUCCUAACUUGUGGGUGUUUCUAAUGCUACAGUGCAGAUGAUGGGAUACUACACAAUCCGACAGAGGAUCAGCUAUGUCCUGGCUGGAGGCAACACAGUUUAUAAACAAGACAAUACCAGAUGGUGAAAGGGAUCCGCUUUUCCAGCCUACAGUGUUCCUUUAUGAUGGCCAUGCACAGAAAAUGACUAUUCAGACAUCCACAAGAGCACAUUUCUUAACUCAUUGAAAUGUUCUGUUCUAUAUGUAAUUGCAAAGAUCGUGCGUUACAAUUACUGACUGCACAUCAAACAUUGAGGUUUA